rnacentral:rRNA from 1 species
UGGGGAAUCUUGCGCAAUGCGCGAAAGCGUGACGCAGCAACGCCGCGUGUGGGAAGAAGGCCUUCGGGUUGUAAACCCCUUUCAGUUGGGACGAAGCUUCGCCGGUGAAUAGCCGGCUGGAGUGACGGUACCUUCACAAGAAGCCCCGGCUAACUACGUGCCAGCAGCCGCGGUAAUACGUAGGGGGCUAGCGUUGUCCGGAAUCAUUGGGCGUAAAGCGCGUGUAGGCGGCCCGGUAAGUCCGCUGUGAAAGUCGGGGGCUCAACCCUCGGAUGCCGGUGGAUACUGUCGGGCUCGAGUACGGAAGAGGCGAGUGGAAUUCCUGGUGUAGCGGUGAAAUGCGCAGAUAUCAGGAGGAACACCGAUUGCGAAGGCAGCUCGCUGGGACGUUACUGACGCUGAGACGCGAAAGCGUGGGGAGCAAACAGG